CUUGGUCAUUUAGAGGAAGUAAAAGUCGUAACAAGGUUUCCGUAGGUGAACCUGCGGAAGGAUCAUUAUCGUAACAAAAUGUGUGAGGCACGCAAGGGCUGUCGCUGACUUUUGACGCAAAAGUUGUGCACGCCGGAGUGUGUCCUCUCACAUAAAAUCCAUCUCACCCUUUUGUGCACCACCGCGUGGGCACCCCUUCGGGAUCAAACUGAUCCAGGAGGGGGCUUGCGUUUUCACACAAACCCCAUUUUUAAAAAGUGUAGAAUGACCUCAUUUUUGCGAUAACACGCAAUCAAUACAACUUUCAACAACGGAUCUCUUGGCUCUCGCAUCGAUGAAGAACGCAGCGAAAUGCGAUACGUAAUGUGAAUUGCAGAAUUCAGUGAAUCAUCGAAUCUUUGAACGCACCUUGCGCCCCUUGGUAUUCCGAGGGGCACACCCGUUUGAGUGUCGUGAAAAUCUCAACCUUCUCGGUUUUCUUCUGGAUGCCGAGGGAGGCUUGGACUUUGGAGGCCUUUGCUGGCGUCUCUCGCCAGCUCCUCUCAAAUGAAUUAGCGGGGUCCUCUUUGCCGGUCCUCGACAUGUGAUAAGAUGUUUCCAUGUCUUGGUUUCUGGCUCUGUUGCCUUUGGGACCCGCUUCUGACCGUCUCAACGACGAUGUUUGUGAGCGCGUCUCCCUUCUCGGGAAACUCUCUCUCAAACCCCACGAACCCUUGACCUCAAAUCGGGUGAGACUACCCGCUGAACUUAAGCAUAUCAAUAAGCGGAGGAAAAGAAACUAACAAGGAUUCCCCUAGUAACUGCGAGUGAAGCGGGAAAAGCUCAAAUUUAAAAUCUGGCGGUCUUUGGCUGUCCGAGUUGUAAUCUGGAGAAGCGUUUUCCGCGUCGGACCGUGUACAAGUCUUCUGGAAUGGAGCGUCGUAGAGGGUGAGAAUCCCGUACGUGACUGGUUGCCUCCGCCCGUGUAAAGCUCUUUCGACGAGUCGAGUUGUUUGGGAAUGCAGCUCAAAAUGGGUGGUAAAUUUCAUCUAAAGCUAAAUAUUGGCCAGAGACCGAUAGCGCACAAGUAGAGUGAUCGAAAGAUGAAAAGCACUUUGGAAAGAGAGUUAAACAGUACGUGAAAUUGUUGAAAGGGAAGCGCUUGCAACCAGACUUGCAUGCGGUUGAUCAUCCGAGCUUCUGCCCGGUGCACUCGAUCGUAUUCAGGCCAGCAUCGGUUUUGGUGGGCGGAUAAAGGCCUUGGGAAUGUAGCUUCCUUCGGGGAGUGUUAUAGCCCUCGGUGCAAUGCGCCCUACCGGGACCGAGGACCGCGCUUCGGCUAGGAUGCUGGCGUAAUGGUUGUAAGCGACCCGUCUUGAAACACGGACC
rnacentral:rRNA from 1 species